rnacentral:rRNA from 1 species
UACGGAGGGGGCGAGCGUUGUUCGGAAUUACUGGGCGUAAAGGGCGCGUAGGCGGCCCAUCAAGUUAGGCGUGAAAGCCCCGGGCUCAACCUGGGAAUUGCGUUUAAGACUGGUGAGCUAGAGUACGAGAGAGGAAAGUGGAAUUCCUAGUGUAGAGGUGAAAUUCGUAGAUAUUAGGAAGAACACCAGUGGCGAAGGCGGCUCACUGGCCCGAUACUGACGCUGAGGCACGAAAGCGU